rnacentral:rRNA from 1 species
CAGCCGCCGCGGGAAUACAGAGGGUGCGUGCGUUAAUCGGAUUUACUGGGCGUAAAGCGUGCGUAGGCGGCUUUUUAAGUCGGAUGUGAAAUCCCUGAGCUUAACUUAGGAAUUGCAUUCGAUACUGGGAAGCUAGAGUAUGGGAGAGGAUGGUAGAAUUCCAGGUGUAGCGGUGAAAUGCGUAGAGAUCUGGAGGAAUACCGAUGGCGAAGGCAGCCAUCUGGCCUAAUACUGACGCUGAGGUACGAAAGCAUGGGGAGCAAACAGGAUUAGAUACCCCUGUAGUCCCUGUCUCUUAUAC